rnacentral:rRNA from 1 species
UGGGCCGAAACGGGGGUGGCAUUAAUAUAUCGGAACGUGCCCUGGAGUGGGGGAUAACUAGUCGAAAGAUUAGCUCAUACCGCAUACGAUCUAAGGAUGAAAUGGGGGAUCUCAAGACCUCCUGCUCAUGCAGCGGCCCCUCUCUGGUUAGUUACUUGGUGGGGUAAAAGCCUACCAAGGCGUCUAUCCCUAUCUCACCUGAGAGGACGACCAGCCACACUGGGACUGAGACACGGCCCAGACUCCUACGGGAGGCAGCAGGGGGGUGGAGGGGGCACCUGAUCCGCAUGCCGCGUGAUGAGAAGCCUUCGGGUUGUAAGCUCUUUUGUCAGGGAAGAAACGGUGGGAGCUAAUAUCUUCUGCUAAUGACGGUACCUGAAGAAUAAGCACCGGCUAACUACGUGCCAGCAGCCGCGGUAAUACGUAGGGUGCGAGCGUUAAUCGGAAUUACUGGGCGUAAAGCGUGCGCAGGCGGUUGUGCAAGACAGAUGUGAAAUCCCCGGGCUCAACCUGGGAAUUGCAUUUGUGACUGCACGGCUAGAGUGUGUCAGAGGGGGGUAGAAUUCCACGUGUAGCAGUGAAAUGCGUAGAGAUGUGGAGGAAUACCGAUGGCGAAGGCAGCCCCCUGGGAUAACACUGACGCUCAUGCACGAAAGCGUGGGGAGCAAACAGGAUUAGAUACCCUGGUAGUCCACGCCCUAAACGAUGUCAACUAGUUGUCGGGUCUUAAUUGACUUGGUAACGCAGCUAACGCGUGAAGUUGACCACCUGGGGAGUACGGUCAAGAUUAAAACUCAAAGGAAUUGACGGGGACCCGCACAAGCGGUGGAUGAUGUGGAUUAAUUCGAUGCAACGCGAAAAACCUUACCUACCCUUGACAUGGCAGGAAUCCCGGAGAGAUCUGGGAAUGUUCGAAUGAGAACCUGCAAACAGGUGCUGCAUGGCUGUCGUCAGCUCUCUCGUGAGAUGUUGGGUUAAGUCCCGCAAUGAGCGCAACCCUUUUCAUUAGUUGCUACGAAAGGGCACUCUAAUGAGACUCCGGUGACAAACCGGAGGAAGGUGGGGAUGACGUCAAGUCCUCAUGGCCCUUAUGGGUAGGGCUUCACACGUCAUACAAUGGUACAUACAGAGGGCCGCCAACCCGCGAGGGGGAGCUAAUCCCAGAAAGUGUAUCGUAGUCCGGAUUGGAGUCUGCAACUCGACUCCAUGAAGUUGGAAUCGCUAGUAAUCGCGGAUCUAGCAUGUAGCGGUGAAUACGUUCCCGGGUCUUGUACUCACCGCCCUUUAUAAGAAAAGGGCGACG